UGGUGUAAACGCAGUCGCUCUUCCUGUGCUCCUAACGCUGUAGCUCGUGGCUGUUUCUGUGCCAUCUGUCGGUGACGCUGCAAUGACCUGCAGGUCAGGACAGAGUGUUCAUCAAAGGUGGAGGUUACUGUGAGGGCAAGCGUGUCAAUGGAGAAAUUAUGGGGAAUGGAUUUCAGUACUGGGCAUCCACAGGGGCAGUGGAGAAAUGACGUAUUCAAUGAGUGGGGAGCUAUAGUUAAUUGUUCUGGUGACAUCUGUGAUGGACUGUGGAUCAAUGGCUCCCCUGCUGUGUUUCGCAUCCUCUGAGUACUCAUUUCUCCUGGAAUGCAUAGUUCUCUGGACAAGGGGAUGACUAUUUGACCGAGACCUUUCUGCAGGGAGGGAGCUGUUCUCUCAAAUUAAACAUGAAGGUAGACUGAGCCUGUGGAAGUUCUGGAGGAAACCAUGGUGGAGCAAAUGUUUCUGUGAAGAGGACCACAGUGGAACAGAUACUAACACUGCAGCCCAUGAAGAAGGACCCCAUGCCAGAGCAGCUAUGAGCAGUUGUCAUUUGGAGAUCUGGGCUGGCACUGGAAACCACAAAGCCCCAUCAAGUUCUGCUACCAACCUCUUUGAGUUGAUUGAAGAAACCGAGAGGAAAACAGUUAACUUCUGUCAGUUCUGGAUUUGACUGGCUGAUUCACCAGUCCCUAAGACACAUAGGGCCAGAACCUGGAACUGAUACCAGUAUGGAGAUGGAAAUGCUUCAGGCAGUCAGCAUGAGUGCUUUAAUAUGGAUGAGAGUCAUUCUCAUGAGAAAAAUCUUUGCUUAACUAAAGUUACUAUGCACAGAAAGAAGACACCCCCUGCCCCUAACUUCUGGCUUGAUGUCCUACCCAAGUGAUUAGAGUGAUUUAAUUGAAUCGGCUGUAAAAAGAUAAUUAAUUGAUAUUUCACUCCCAGAGAGGUCAAGCUGCCCUAUCUUGAAUGAGGCCAAAAGCCAAGUGGCAGAAUAUCUGCUGAGAAAGCUGAGAAGAUGACAGUCUCACAGGAGAAAAUGGAAGACAGCAGAUCUCACAUGACAACCAAAGAAUGCAAGCUACAAAAGGAUCAGCACCUCAAGGAAUUCUAAGGCAUUACAAGAGACAGCUUCCUUGGUUAGACAAAUCCAAACAUGGAAAUCAACUUUUUGCAAGCAUCAGGAUAAGUGCUGAUAUCUUGGAGUCAGGAUGUGAAAACAAAUGACUUGUAACCCAGCAAAACUUUUGGUGAAAGAUCAGAACACAUUUUUGCAAGAUUUAUGGGCCAGUGUUGUGCUGGGCACCAUAAAUGGGAGUUGACAAACUACAGGACACGAGGUUUAAGCCAUUGACCUCUGACAUUAGGAGUCAUCACAACUGUAUGUUAUCACAUUUGUGUUCAGGAGUUAAAGGCUUUUGCUCUGAGGGAGUCUUGUAAAUGCUUAGCAGAGGUACAGAAAUGCAGUUGUUACUCAGUCUUUAAGCUUUAUUGUUGGUGAUGAGUAGUUAAAUCUCUCAGGCCACUGUGGAUUUUAGUGCAGAAUAUUUGUAAGUCAUCAUUAAGUCUUUGGGUUGUUUGUGCAGAAUAACACAUCUGGUUUUCUUGAGGAGGGUGUCGCUGCUCAGUGACAGUUCAGCUUGAGCAGACUCAGCACUUUUUGCUGCUCCUUUAAUAGUCUAGUAUUCCAAGCUACUUCCCAACUCCAGAAUCUCUGUUAACUGGGUCCAUUUGUGAAACAAAAGCCCUGCUAAAGCAAAAAGGCUUUGGGAUGCAUGGGACGCUGUUCUCAAAUCAAGUAUGUACUUCAGUGUUCUGAACUCAACCCCAAAAUCCUGCAGUGCAUCGUAAUGCGAUAGUGGGGGGAGGAUGGGUGCGUGCAGCUGCGCCUCUGCCUCUGACACAAGCAUCUAAAACACUAGCAGGCCAUUUUAGAAAGCAGGGAAGAGAGGAAUGAAGAGCGGGUGAAGCUGACAGAGCAGAAGGUGAGUUGGAAGUGAUGACUGAAGGGAAGGCCUGAGCUUACUGCAAGUCGAGGCACUGCUCUUGACAAUCACCAGGCUGAGACCUGUCCCGUGUAGAGGAUCACAACAUCCCAUUGUCUUUAUUGCUGUCUGGAAAUUCUUCAGGCUUGUAGCUGACCAGCUGACCCUGCAGGUUCAGGGGUAGGCUCUGUGCAGUGUUGAGUUCAUCAUGCAAUGCAAGCUUCCCAAAUUAUAUGUCAUUCUGAGGGGCACAGAACCAAUUAGCAUAUGGAUUUGUUCUGCAUGUGCAAAUCUUUUCUUGGGCUAAGGAAGUGUCAUUCAGAGACUUGGCUGAAGAAAAGAAGAAAACAGUUUAAUCUUAUAUUGUAAUUGUCAUCCUCUGACUAAUGAUAAGCAAUAUUAUGGCCUGCAUAUCGGCUGUAAUUAAGCAGUGAGACACAACAAGGUGUAUGUUACAGAGAGAUAACACAGUGCUUAAGAGCCAGUGACCUGCAAAGCACAUUAUCUCCCAGCUGCACAAGCCCUACAUAGUCAGUUUGUACACGUUGUGGUGGCAAAUCCACCAGCCCCUCUUCCCCACCUUUAUUCUGCUUUUCAAGGUGCAGAAACUGUGAAGAAUUCUUGUGUUACUGGUUGUGUUGUGUGAUGUUUAAAAAAGCUCCCUUUUUAUAUCAGUCAAUUUCUGCACAUGUAAUAAGCCAGUAUGAAGCAUUCCAAGUUCUCAUUCAGUGGAGCUCUGGGAAAUUAGCAUCACUUAAAAUGAGCCCCUUCAGUGUUUUGUUAGACAAGUAGGUAUGGAGCAUGCAGGGAAGGAUCCAAGCACCACUGACAGCAACUCUUUGUUUGCUCCGGGAAAGGUUUUGUGUUGUUUUCAAAGAUAGCAGAGGGAGCUUUUUGCUGGAACACAGUGUUAGAUGGGACUUGUUUCAAAGUAAAAUUGAUUUUUAGUUAGAAUUAAAGAUUGGAAGCAUGAAGCUCGUACUGUUUGUACUAAACAUGAAAGCCUUUCUUAUCAGAGUACCACUGCACAUGUAGGUGCCUACAUAGGCUGACCAAGCUGAUGCUGCACAAGUGACUUGAGUCUUUGAACAAUCAGAUAAAUGUCUUGAGGCUUAUUCCUUAUCUUACCCCUAAUGAAACUUUGCAGGGUCAAUAACUUGGUUAAUGUUGAUCAAAUUUUCAGUUUAAGUUCAGUCAUGGAUGUGGAUCUACAACCUCUUGAUAUUGGGCAGCUACAUAUGCUUGUAAAAUUAAUACAAAACACAGUAGAUCAAAGUGCUUCAUUUUGUUCCUAUGUCACAGUCUCUUACACUUCCUUAUUCAUGUUGUUUCUCCCCCCCCCCCCCCCCCAUACAAAUUGAAUUCCAGAUAGCAAAUUAGAAUGUCACUGUCAUCUGUAAGCAAACUACUGACAAUUUAGCCUAGGCAGAGGGAGAAAAGCAGCAGUGAGCUGAGGUGGAUACUUCUUUAGCCAAAUGCAGGAUUUCAGCAGUGCAGAAGGACAGUCCUCUCAUAGCCUGGUCAGAAGCAGAGAUGGGUUACUGGGGUUUGAAUAGCACUUAGCCUCUCUGGACACUGGUGUCAGUUGGAUGUCCUAGAUAUUGCUGUAUUAAAAGCAUAAAGUUAGGCUUAGUGCAAGAACAGAGAGACAAGGCAGAGGCAACAGAGACAGAUGUCUCUUCCUCAGAGCCCUUCUACUGGGUGAGACUGUUUCUGAUGACAGCUGUAGCCCUGUAAAUGCCUGCUAGAUGUCUGGUGAUAAUCCAUUCAAAGCAAUUACAAGGCAUCCGUCACCAGCAGGGUCUGAGCCACAGGCUUCUUAUCUGGGAAAAUUGAUGGAAGAGAAGAGGGGAGUGAGGGAAGAAAUCAAUGCCUUUCACCAAUGUUAUCUGCCAAAUUGAAUUAAGCAGCAUGGGAUCCCUGCUUUACACAGUGCAAGAGCUGGAGCUUGAAGAGUCUGUUUGUAGUUAAGCUCAGUUCAUGGGCAAGGCAGGUAGGAGCUGAGGGUUCGUUCUCCUCACUGGCAAUUUCUUGGGCACCUACUAAUGUCAGUGGAACUUGUGUGUGCAAAAGGAGUUCAGAACUUAGCAGCACCCAGAGCCUUUAACCUGGUAGCACCACUUGUGACUUUUGUGUCUGCUCAUGGUCUUAAUGUAUCUUUUCAUGUUCUUCUACUUUUUUUUCUGGGUGUAGCCAAGAGUAUCUCAUUGCUCGCCACAUCCCAGUUUAUACAGGCAAGGGCUGUAGAGAAAGCAGCAGCAAAGAUAACGCUAAUGGGUUCCCCGGAGGCAGUGCUAGUGAAACUAGUGUUUAGAAGUGGUGCACGUGCUGAGUCUGUUGGCAGCGCAGCCGUGCUGCGCAAGCAUGUGACCCAGUACUGAGAUGUACUUGAGAGUUCAUGGCUCUUGAGGUCAGGAGGUUUUGGGUGGGGGUUUUAAUAUGCAAGGAAAUACAGCUUAUUGCUGUGGGGUUUGGUGGUUUGCUUCCCUGAGUGUAUCUGCUUCUCAUUGCACUUGCCUUAUGGGUUGGAAGGAUAAAUUUCAGUUCUGUAUGUCUAACUGCGUACUCAUUUUGCCAAGCACUGUUGAAAUCCAGGAGUGAGGUUCAGGAGAGUUUAACAGAGUUACCAGCUGCAAAGCGACACUUUCCCUUCCUGGGUUGGCAAUUGACAUUUCAAAGGCCACCAGUAUAUUUAUGGAGCUGUUCAGUUCCCUCUUGUGUUGCAGGGUUUUUCUCCUGCAGUUGAUGCGUACGUGCGAUGAGAGAGUUGUCAUCUGGGGAGAGUGCUGGGGGCUGGAGGACCAGGACAGCUUAGGCAGAAGAGGCUCUGGGGACCUAAAAGCAUAAAAUCCUCAAGGUUCUGGAUUGGAGCUGACUCGGCAGAUGCAAAAGUAAGUUGAAGCAGAUGAGCCAGACAACUUGUGGGUACCAGACAGAACAGUUCACCUAAACCAGGCCAGUGCAGAGAUCUGUGGAAACCUUCCGCCUCCCAAGUAAGUGUGUGUGGGAAUCUGCAUUGCAGUCAGGUGAGCUUAAAGUGCACAUAAGCCAUCUAAUAAAAAUUCCCCCAGAGUAUAUGUCACACAGCUGUGUUUCAUUGUAUUUGUGCUCUCUUCCUACUGACAGCGCCUUUGGAGCCACAUUACUCACAUCUCAUCAUCAGCUCUGACAUUCCUGGCUUUUUACUGCUUCCCUGGUUCCUAUCAUCUUCUGCAAGCUUUAUACCUUCCUUGCACACUGGCCAAGGUGUAUUUCUGUAGUAUCUUUUCAACAAAUGAACAUGGGAGCAUGUAAAAAGCAGUUUGGAUACCACGGCAGUAACAAGGGCUUUCCCCUUUUCUACUGAAAAUCCCUACCAAGCCUCUACUCCAUUGUUUUUAUGGGUUCAGUUUUCCGUUUGCUCCAUCUGUUUGGUAUAAAGGGUGCUGCUUGCACUAAAAUGGGAAGGACUGAGGUGCAGUGCUGAACUAGUGUUUAAUCCUCUUUCAGAGCAUUUUUGUUUACAGUGCAUAGACCAUGUUCAGAAUGAGCAGCUCCAAGAGUAUGUACAUGGGCUUGGUUGGGGGUUUUUUUGUUUCCCUUUUUUCCGUGGUGGCUGUUGAAUGAGCCAUGAAGAUGUUUUACCUCAGGCCUCAGGAAAUUUGACUUUGGUUUCUAUGUCCAGCAGCUGGUUUGAGCAUGGGGCACUUCAGCUCAUUUGGCUGCUGAUCUCCCCCUCCUUCCCCCCUUUGUUCCUGUUGAAUGAAAGUUCAUCAGGGCAGGGCCUGUAGCUUGCUAAGGACUUGUUGGGAACUGAGCACAGAGGGGCUGGGGCCCCUGUUAGACUUCUAAACUAUUUCCACUUUGUGAAAUGAAGUUGAACUCAAGGGGUACUUCAGCACGCCACAGUCUGCAAGGCAGGUUUCUGUGUGCACUGCCAGCAUUAGGUGAACUCUGAGUAUCAACUGGUCUCAAAGGAGUUUUGUAGUGCUCGGGAUGAACAGAUCCCUGGAUUGUAGGUUGGGGACUGGGCAGCAGUUUACUGAGCCGUGCUCCUUACCUGUGGCUCA